rnacentral:rRNA from 1 species
AUUGAACGCUGGCGGCAGGCCUAACACAUGCAAGUCGAGCGAGCGGCGGACGGGUGAGUAAUGUAUGGGGACUGCCUGAUGGAGGGGGAUAACUGCUGGAAACGGUGGCUAAUACCGCAUACCAUCCGAUAACCCAUAUGGGAUUAGCUAGUAGGUGGGGUAAAGGCUCACCUAGGCGACGAUCCCUAGCUGGCCUGAGAGGAUGAGCAGCCACACUGGGACUGAGACACGGCCCAGACUCCUACGGAGGGAGCAGUAGGGAAUAUUGGGCAAUGGACGGAAGCCUGACGGAGCAACGCCGCGUGUGUGAAGAAGGUCUUCGGGGUGUAAAACUCUUUUAGUAGGGAAGCGUUACCUGAACAAAAAGCCACGGCUAACUACGUGCCAGCCGCCGCGGUAAUAC